UAAUUAUUGUUUUUGAGGAGGCAACUUCAUGUUGUGGAGAGAUUGCAUGCAACAGUAUUCUUCGAAAGACUGGCAGGUGACUUUAUUUUUGACCUCCUGCCAUGUCCGAACUUCUUGAUAGCAGCGAUGACAACAGCAGCAGUGAUGAGACCGUGUGCAGUUUAGCAGUAAAGCAUGUCGUUGUGGAUCUGAAGGUGUUUUGGGAGUGGUGUCAAGGGGAAUUGGCUAAUUCCAGCUUCCGUAGGCAUUGCCCACAACACGCUGAAAUAAUAUGUAAACUUCAGCAAUUGCCUGCAAGCGAGAAGAAUGUAGUGGAUCUCUUGGAGGCUGUGUCGCGUGAGGUACAGAGCUGCCUCGCCAGGCCCACAAUGAAUGCAUCACGCAUGGCAUUGGGAGUACUCCGUGCUUGUCCGACUGUUAUAAGGCCGCUUUGGCUUGCUGCUGUGGGAAAGGCGGUUGAAAUUUCACAGGUUUCGUAUGAUGACGGUAUACAACUUGCAUUAUUUGCACGUUUUGUCGACUUCUGUUGGCACUGGGUGCGGGCAGCGUCUGCUUGUAGUCAGAAUGUCUCUUCACCUCUACCUGUCGAAGUGACCAAAAGCCCCCGCAGAUGACUGCUCAGCGGAUAAGACCUUGCGGUAGGUUUUCUGUGUGUUUCUUCCUGCUACCCAUCACAUGAUCGUAACCAGCAGCUUUUUUUCUGUAGUCAUUUAUGGUGAAAGUGGCAUGUACAUAUAUAUUAUUAUGGUGAUGAGUUUCGGUCAGGGAGUUUGAGUACGACUCCCUGAUCUGGACCUUCGAUUAGCACCUUCUUUUUUUCUUCUUUUUCUCUUUUUCUCUCUUACUUUUUUCUGGUUCGAGUAAACCUUGCCGUCAUUUUGUCAUCAUAAUUAAUAUUAAUUAUGACUGGCGUUUCCUUUUCCUCGCGUCAGCCAAGAAUACUACUAUCUAUUGUGGUGGUACUUCUUUCCAAACCUAACAGUGCGGAGACACCCCUCGUCUCUGGGCCUGUGAUGAUUCCCAUGAUUUCAGCAUCAGAGCUGCUCGCUCUUGCUUCUUCAUUCCAGGCUCGCUCUUCAUGCAUCCACUGAAAGGGAAUUUUGAGGCGUUGUUGUGUGGUGACCGUCACUCACUGGUAUACGCCAACGUAUCAGUAUUUGCUCUCGAACUAUCCAUGUACUUGUAUCAAUAUUCUCAUCGUUCUCGGAUCGAGGACGGUCCUUCGAGUUUCCAGUGCCAGUAAUGAACCCAUAAGUAGAACGACCACCGACGGGCAACAACCAUCAUGCCUUGCCGAUGGACCAAACCGAAGACCACGACUUGGAUGGGAACGCCGUGGGUGUCGAGACGGCACAGCAAGGAUGAGAGGACGGCCGACCUGUCCUGUGUCCUACAGGUAUACAUGACUGUAUUCCUGCUCAUUGUACUGCAUGUAAACUGCCUC